GCCAGACUCCUACGGGAGGCAGCAGUGAGGCCUCUUGGUCAAUGGGCGCGAGCCUGAACCAGCCCAGUAGCGUGAAGGAUGACUGCCCUACGGGUUGUAACCUUCUUUUAUAAAGGAAUAAAGUGAGGCCCGUGUGCCUUUUUGUAUGUACUUUAUGAAUAAGGAUCGGCUAACUCCGUGCCAGCAGCCGCGGUAAUACGGAGGAUCCGAGCGUUAUCCGGAUUUAUUGGGUUUAAAGGGAGCGUAGAUGGGUUGUUAAGUCAGUUGUGAAAGGUUGCGGCUCAACCGUAAAAUUGCAAUUGAUACUGGCAGUCUUGAGUACAGUUGAGGUAGGCGGAAUUCGUGGUGUAGCGGUGAAAUGCUGAGAUAUCACGAAGACCCCCGAUUGCGAAGGCAGCUUACUAAACUGUGACUGACAUUGAUGCUCGAAAGUGUGGGUAUCAAACAGGAUUAGAUACCCGGGUAUA
rnacentral:rRNA from 1 species